rnacentral:lncRNA from 1 species
CCGGUUCGGGCCAAGCAGAGUCGAUCGGAAGUUGUGCGGAAAACAACAGCAAUUCGGCGGACGCGGGUGCCGCACCGAAGGAUUCGGUUCGGGCCAAGCAGAGUCGGCUUGAAGAGUUGAAGCGGAACGUGGCCGGC